UAAAUUCUGCGAUGUGCGAAAUAAUCCUUUUUAAUUCAACCGACAAAUAGAACACGGGAAACUGUGUAUCAGUGAGAUAUGACAAGCCGUCUUUGAGCGGAAGUCAGAAGACACUAUCAAGUUUUUGACCCACCAUGAAAAUGGGCGGGGUGAAUUAAUUAGGUAACGGCAUUGCGGUUUUUAC
rfam:Peptoniphilus grossensis strain 35-6-1 unitig_0, whole genome shotgun sequence.